UACGUAGGGGACAAGCGUUGUCCGGAAUUAUUGGGCGUAAAGGGUGCGUAGGCGGCGCGGUAAGUCGGGUGUGAAAUCUCGGAGCUUAACUCCGAAACUGCAUUCGAUACUGCCGUGCUUGAGGACUGGAGAGGAGACUGGAAUUUACGGUGUAGCGGUGAAAUGCGUAGAUAUCGUAAGGAAGACCAGUGGCGAAGGCGGGUCUCUGGACAGUUCCUGACGCUGAGGCACGAAGGUCAGGGGAGCAAACGGG
rnacentral:rRNA from 1 species